rnacentral:rRNA from 1 species
GAACGGGAUCCGGACUUCGGUUCGGUGAGAGUGGCGGACGGGUGAGUAACGCGUGGGAACCUGCCCAGUGGUGCGGAAUAGCUCAGGGAAACUUGAGGUAAUACCGCAUAAGCCCUUAGGGGGAAAGAUUUAUCGCCGAAGGAGCGGCCCGCGUUGGAUUAGCUAGUUGGUGGGGUAAAAGCCUACCAAGGCGACGAUCCAUAGCUGGUUUGAGAGAACGACCAGCCACACUGGGACUGAGAUACGGCCCAGACUCCUACGGGAGGCAGCAGUGGGGAAUAUUGGACAAUGGGGGCAACCCUGAUCCAGCAAUGCCGCGUGAGUGAUGAAGGCCUUCGGGUUGUAAAGCUCUUUUGCCAGGGACGAUGAUGA